rnacentral:rRNA from 1 species
GACGAACGUUGGCGGCGUGCUUAAUACAUGCAAGUCAACUGAAGCAGUGGUAGCAAUAUCGCUGUGGAGGUGGCGCACGGGUGAGUAACACGUAGGUAAUCUGCCUUCAGGUCUGGCAUAACUCCGGGAAACCGGGGCUAAUAGCAGAUGAUGCAGCGGCUCGACAUCGAGACAGUUGUUAAAGCUAUGGCGCCUGAAGAUGAGCCUGCGUCUGAUUAGCUAGUUGGCGGGGUAACGGCCCACCAAGGCAACGAUCAGUAGCUGGUCUGAGAGGAUGAUCAGCCAUACUGGAACUGAGACACGGUCCAGACUACUACGGGAGGCAGCAGUAAGGAAUAUUGCUCAAUGGGAGAAAUCCUGAAGCAGCAACGCCGCGUGAGGGACGAAGGGCUUUUGGUUGUAAACCUCUGUAGUGAGAGAAAAAAAUCCCAAUCUUUGGGACAUGAUGGUAUCUCAAAAGUAAGCCCCGGCUAACUACGUG